rnacentral:rRNA from 1 species
GAUGAACGCUGGCGGCGUGCCUAAUACAUGCAAGUCGAGCGAACAGACGAGGAGCUUGCUCCUCUGACGUUAGCGGCGGACGGGUGACUAACACGUGGAUAACCUACCUAUAAGACUGGGAUAACUUCGGGAAACCGGAGCUAAUACCGGAUAAUAUAUUGAACCGCAUGGUUCAAUAGUGAAAGACGGUUUUGCUGUCACUUAUAGAUGGAUCCGCGCCGCAUUAGCUAGUUGGUAAGGUAACGGCUUACCAAGGCAACGAUGCGUAGCCGACCUGAGAGGGUGAUCGGCCACACUGGAACUGAGACACGGUCCAGACUCCUACGGGAGGCAGCAGUAGGGAAUCUUCCGCAAUGGGCGAAAGCCUGACGGAGCAACGCCGCGUGAGUGAUGAAGGUCUUCGGAUCGUAAAACUCUGUUAUUAGGGAAGAACAAAUGUGUAAGUAACUAUGCACGUCUUGACGGUACCUAAUCAGAAAGCCACGGCUAACUACGUG